rnacentral:rRNA from 1 species
AGAAUCAACGCUGGCGGCGUGCCUAACACAUGCAAGUCGAACGAGAAAGUGGAGCAAUCCAUGAGUACAGUGGCGACCGGGUGAGUAACACGUGACUACCUACCCUUGAGUGGGGGAUAACCUCGGGAAACCGAGGCUAAUACCGCAUAAUAUCGAGAGAUCAAAGGAGUAAUCCGCUUUUGGAGGGGGUCGCGGCUGAUUAGCUAGUUGGUAGGGUAAUGGCCUACAAAGGCGAAGAUCGGUAUCCGGCCUGAGAGGGCGCACGGACACACUGGAACUGAAACACGGUCCAGACUCCUACGGGAGGCAGCAGUGGGAAUUUUGCGCAAUGGGGGAAACCCUGACGCAGCAACGCCGCGUGGAGGAUGAAGCCCCUUGGGGUGUAAACGUCCUUUCGACCGGGAAAAUAAUGAUGGUACCGGUGGAAGAAGCACCGGCUAACUCUGUGCCAGCAGCCGC